AUACAUGUGCUCUCUGAAUUCAUCUUCUCCUUUCGGCUAUGAAAUUUGAAACAAUUUUCAAAUCAAAAGUCUUCAAUCCCUUAUCCAUGCAACAUCUACUUCUCACACUGUCAAAGCUUAAGAAAUUCCAUUUUAAUCCCUUAUCUCUCUUCAAAUCCUCCUCUAAUUUGGGAAUUUUUUCUCAUGUCUUUACACAAUGAAAAACCCAAUGUUGAAUAAUACCCAUUUUAUUGAUUCAUUCUUUGUUGAUUUUGCAGGUUUGGUCAAGGCGCAUGCAGUUUGGAUUUCCCUCCAGAGGGAUAAGAUCAGAUGAAUAGGUAAAAGGUAACUUUGAAUUUCAAUUUCAGAUUCUCCCGCCUUCAAAUUCAAUCGAUUUAUUCAUUUUAUAAUUGAAAUAGGGUUAGAGGUUUUGUCUAUUUAAGCAGUUAUGUAGUUUUUUUGCUUCUCCAUCUGUUAUUUUAUGGAUUUAAUUUCAUCAUCUGAUUUUUAUGCUACCUGUUUCUUUUUUGUCUAUGUUUGCAAAUUUAUUUUUCUUCUCAAUCUUCUCAAUCGAAUCCUCCAACCUGUUUCAAGACCCAUCCAGCAGGUAAUUUCAGUUUUGUUCUUUUUCCAAAUCCCUAAUUUUCUUUUCGUUCCUCUUUCUAAUCCUCUUUCUGUUUUUUUUUUAUGAUUAUCCUCUUUCUGUUGCCAUUGGGUUUUAUUGUUCAUUAUGAUGAUUUUGUUGUUUUUUUUUAAAUGCAGAGAUUUUGUUGAUUUCGAAAGUUGGUUGCUUUACUGCUCUAAAAAGUUAGACAGGGGUAAGAGCUUAAUUGUUUUGCUAAUGAUAAUUAUUUUCAUGUUUCUUCAUCAAAUUUUAGUUUCAAAUCAUAUCAUUUUUCUUGCUUUGGAAUGUUUUAUUGUUUGUCAGGUUUACAAAUUAGGAUUUGACUGGGUAAGUUUUAUAAACUUUAAUUGAUUAAAGAAAAAUAUAAUCAGAAUUAAUCAGAGAAAAUACUAUGCCUAUAGCUAUACAGUUUGAGAAAUGGGGUUUAAAGAGUAUGGAUGAAAUCCAAUUUGAGAAAAUCCUAAAAUCCAAAGGGUAAAAUAGAUAUUAUGAUUAUUUUGUUUGCUUUCAUUAGUAUCAUCUUUCUCCCAAUUUUCUGCACUUAUUUUUUCUUUGUCAAUUUGUGUUCUAUGUUUUAUGAUGAAUUUAACUGAUUUCUAAUAUGGUUUUGUUUAUUUAAAUCUGCAGCUUAGUUUUCAUUAAGAAAUAAGUAUGCUUUCAAUAUUUUAUGAAAUUUUAAACACAGCAAGACUUAUUUUUUUUGCUCAUUAUAUAACUUAUUUGAGGU
rnacentral:lncRNA from 1 species